rnacentral:lncRNA from 1 species
UCAAUUAAAAGUUUAGUGUUUACUAUUGCCAAAUGCCAAUAAGAGCAAAUUGUUUAAUAAACUAACAUAUUAAGCUUAAAUAAGUCUAUUAAAUUAAAAUAAUACAAAUUAUCUCAAAUCAACUUUAAAACGAAUUCUUGAAGGAUGAUCAAGACAACCUUUGAUAUGCUUCCUUAAAUCAUAUGUUCCGUCCCACUGUUGAUGAACAUCAAAGACUCUACCACAAUUCUUGUACUCUAUUUUGUGAGCUUUAUUUUCUUCUACCACCCCAGAAUUUCCAAAUAUAUUAGCGCACUCUAAUGCAUGGGUUAUGAUUGAACUUGAAACUAAGAAAAAAGGUAACUACACUUCACUUGAUAAUUGUAGUUUUGUAGUGGCUACCAUAAACAAUUGAUGUAAUGUGAAAUAAUAAUUAAUUGAGAACUUAAGAGCAAUAAGCAAUUCUAUAAUAAGAGGAAAUUGCGAGAGAAUUGAAGUAUU